UGAGGGCUCCACCCUCAUGGGAGGCAUUGGUGCCCUUAUAAGGGCAAGUUCAGUCCCUUCUUGCUCUCUCCUGCCCUCUCACUUUCCGCCAUAUGAUGUCACAACAAGAAAGCCCUCGCAAGAUGCUGGCACGUUGAUAUUGGACUUUCCAGCUUCCAGACUGGACUCCUCGAGUUGUAUAAGACAUCAGUUGGUAUAAAGCCUGGACCCACUCCUUGUCAACUACCAUAGUUUCCCUGGGAUAUGAAGAGGAGAUAACUGCAGAUAAGACUGAAGAAGGAUGGAAGCUGAAGGUUUACAGAGAACAAAGUUUUUGAUACUUCCAACUGUGAAAACACUUUAAGUAUUCAGAAGAAAAGGUUGUAUCAUAAAAUUAUAUAUAUGUGUUCACAUUUAAAACCUCAAUAUUCUAUAAAGAUCUGAAUUAAAAUUAACUUAGAAAGUAAUUUUGUCUUAUGAGAUGACUGAAUGGAACUAUUAAACACAUAACUUAUUCAUAUGAUUUUAUUUUUAUAUAUCUUUGCAGGAAAAGGUAUAUGUAAAAUGAGGUAGAACUAAAUCAGUGAUUCUUAACCCAGAAUCACUACACUGUAAUAGAAAUAUGAAUGUGAUUCCAGUGGUACAUGUAACUCUAAAAUUAAAUACAAAUUCUCUGUGUGAUUAUGUAUAUAUCCAGAGUUUCCAUAAGAGCUCUGCUACAUCUACUUAGACUCUUGGAUGAUUCCAGAACUGCUAAUAGAGUGAAACACACAAACCUUUUAGAAAAUAAAUUUCACUAAGAAGAAAAAGAAAUGAAGUUCUAAUUGUGUUGGUAAUGUCCCAGUCCCACCCACACAUCACGAGAGAGAGAAAAAGAAAUUCCAAGAAGGAUUUGAUAAUUUCAAGGAACAAAGUGCUCAGGAGAUAUAUUCACUGACCAAUUCCCCAAGUGCUCAUGUGUGAGCAAUUCAAAAAUUCUAAAAAUACUAUUCAGUGACAUCUCAAUAGUUCUUCAAAAUAUGAGAUUGAAAAACAAGGCCUUUUUCCAAGUCACUCUCUUAAAUAUGGUUAACAUUUUCAUUACACAAUAAUUUUGAAGAGUUUUUGAGCCUAUGGAUACCUUAGUUACCAAAAUACUAUGAAUGUGAGCUUCUGUAGUCAUUAAAGAAUAAAGAUGACUAAUUAUUAAUUUAAAGGUUAUGAAAACACUCUUAAAUAUUAAUGACUAAACACACUAACUGAUAGGUUGUGUUUGGACUAACACUGACAGCAAGCUUCUUGUGAAGUCUGCUGGUCAAGUUACCAAAUCAGAGGUGCAGAAAGACAAGAAAAUUCUCAAAAAUGCUUCCACAAGAAGAAUCCUUGAAGUAAUUUAGGCAUCUAACCUCAAAAAAAAAAAAAAAUAAGGUUUAAUGGAGGAAAUUAUUGCUGUAUUCUCUUGCAUUAUCAAGGCUAAGAAAGAUUAUUAGAAUUAUUUUGUAUCUUUCUGGCAACAUGCCUCAUACCAAAGGGAGGAAGUGGCAGGGAAACAAUUCAUUACAAAGAAUAUUUUUCUAAAAAUGAGUCCUAGGCAACAAGGAAAGAGCUUGUCUUACGAGUUGAUGUUCUCUCCCGAAAAGGCAAUUUUAAGCAUUGAGAAUGUUCUGAGAUGGAUUUCUGCAGAGUAGGAAGUUGGAUUCUUAUAUAUAGGAAAUCCCUGUCAGUACUUAAAUUCUACGAUUCUAUGAUUUAUUAAGAAUAGCCACUUGUGAC
rnacentral:lncRNA from 1 species